rnacentral:misc_RNA from 1 species
GUCCAUGUCAUCGAAGGCCUGACCGGCGAACGACAGCGCCAUCUGCUUCGGGAUCACCGUCGCGCCGCAGCCCAGCGCCAGAAUCUGGCGCAGGGCCAUCAGCACACGAAGCCCGCCGAAUUUUCCGUCGGACGCGGCUCCGAUUGCGAAGGCACGCUCGCGAAACACCUGGCCGAACGUCUCGUUGCGGUCGCGUACCCGCGUCACCCAGUCGAUGGCGUUCUUC